rnacentral:rRNA from 1 species
GGCGGCAGGCCUAACACAUGCAAGUCGAACGGUAACAGGAAGCAGCUUGCUGCUUUGCUGACGAGUGGCGGACGGGUGAGUAAUGUCUGGGAAACUGCCUGAUGGAGGGGGAUAACUACUGGAAACGGUGGCUAAUACCGCAUAACGUCGCAAGACCAAAGAGGGGGACCUUCGGGCCUCUUGCCAUCAGAUGUGCCCAGAUGGGAUUAGCUUGUUGGUGAGGUAACGGCUCACCAAGGCGACGAUCCCUAGCUGGUCUGAGAGGAUGACCAGCCACACUGGAACUGAGACACGGUCCAGACUCCUACGGGAGGCAGCAGUGGGGAAUAUUGCACAAUGGGCGCAAGCCUGAUGCAGCCAUGCCGCGUGUAUGAAGAAGGCCUUCGGGUUGUAAAGUACUUUCAGCGGGGAGGAAGGUGUUGUGGUUAAUAACCGCAGCAAUUGACGUUACCCGCAGAAGAAGCACCGGCUAACUCCGUGCCAGCAGCCGCGGUAAUACGGAGGGUGCAAGCGUUAAUCGGAAUUACUGGGCGUAAAGCGCACGCAGGCGGUCUGUCAAGUCGGAUGUGAAAUCCCCGGGCUCAACCUGGGAACUGCAUUCGAAACUGGCAGGCUUGAGUCUUGUAGAGGGGGGUAGAAUUCCAGGUGUAGCGGUGAAAUGCGUAGAGAUCUGGAGGAAUACCGGUGGCGAAGGCGGCCCCCUGGACAAAGACUGACGCUCAGGUGCGAAAGCGUGGGGAGCAAACAGGAUUAGAUACCCUGGUAGUCCACGCCGUAAACGAUGUCUACUUGGAGGUUGUGCCCUUGAGGCGUGGCUUCCGGAGCUAACGCGUUAAGUAGACCGCCUGGGGAGUACGGCCGCAAGGUUAAAACUCAAAUGAAUUGACGGGGGCCCGCACAAGCGGUGGAGCAUGUGGUUUAAUUCGAUGCAACGCGAAGAACCUUACCUGGUCUUGACAUCCACGGAAGAAUUCAGAGAUGGAUUUGUGCCUUCGGGAACCGUGAGACAGGUGCUGCAUGGCUGUCGUCAGCUCGUGUUGUGAAAUGUUGGGUUAAGUCCCGCAACGAGCGCAACCCUUAUCCUUUGUUGCCAGCGGUUAGGCCGGGAACUCAAAGGAGACUGCCAGUGAUAAACUGGAGGAAGGUGGGGAUGACGUCAAGUCAUCAUGGCCCUUACGACCAGGGCUACACACGUGCUACAAUGGCGCAUACAAAGAGAAGCGACCUCGCGAGAGCAAGCGGACCUCAUAAAGUGCGUCGUAGUCCGGAUUGGAGUCUGCAACUCGACUCCAUGAAGUCGGAAUCGCUAGUAAUCGUGGAUCAGAAUGCCACGGUGAAUACGUUCCCGGGCCUUGUACACACCGCCCGUCACACCAUGGGAGUGGGUUGCAAAAGAAGUAGGUAGCUUAACCUUCGGGAGGGCGCUUACCACUUUGUGAUUCAUGACUGGGGUGAAGUCGUAACAAGGUAACCGUAGGGGAACCUGCGGUUGGAUCACCUCCUUACCU